UGUACGCAGUUCAUACCUCUACCUCUAAAGAAGUAGAAAGGUUGUUUCCAAUAGACUCCCGGCUCGAGACACGGCAUACUAAACAAAUUCAUAGUAAAGCAUGGAACAAGAUGGCAUAACAUAAAUACGACACCCACAAGUAAUAGAAAACAGAGAAAAGUAAACAGAUUUGUAAUAAAGCAUGAAACAAGGUAUCAUAACAAGAAUAAAAUCCCCACCA
rnacentral:lncRNA from 1 species